AAAUGCAAUUUUACUUUGAAGCUUGAGGAAGUCCAAACAAAGCCUUAUCGAAAAUUUUUACCUUAUGAAAUAACUGUAGGUUCCAGGGUAUGAACACGGUAACUUCAUUGGCCCCACAAUUUUAUCUGAUGUAAAGGUCAGCAUGGAAUGUUACAAGGAGGAAAUUUGUGGCCAGGUUCUCCUCUGUAUGGAGGCUGACAGCAUAGAAGAGGCUAUAGACAUUGUUAACGGGAAUAAGUAAUGUCUCAAUUCCAACAUCCCUAGAUUCCUUCGUCUUCUAAAACCAUGGAAGCUUUAUAUUUUCCCUAUACAUAUUCCUAUUUCAGAUAUGGCAUUGGAGCUUCAAUUUUUACAUCCUCACGUGUAGCAGCAAGGAAAUUUCAAACAGAGGUUGCG